UACGUAGGGUGCGAGCGUUAAUCGGAAUUACUGGGCGUAAAGCGUGCGCAGGCGGUUUUGUAAGCCAGAUGUGAAAUCCCCGGGCUUAACCUGGGAAUGGCAUUUGGGACUGCAAGGCUGGAGUUUGGCAGAGGAGACUGGAAUUCCUGGUGUAGCAGUGAAAUGCGUAGAUAUCAGGAGGAACACCGAUGGCGAAGGCAGGUCUCUGGGCAUUAACUGACGCUGAGGAGCGAAAGCGUGGGGAGCGAACAGG
rnacentral:rRNA from 1 species